GAUGAACGCUGGCGGCGUGCCUAAUACAUGCAAGUCGAGCGAACGGACGAGAAGCUUGCUUCUCUGAUGUUAGCGGCGGACGGGUAAGUAACACGUGGAUAACCUACCUAUAAGACUGGGAUAACUUCGGGAAACCGGAGCUAAUACCGGAUAAUAUUUUGAACCGCAUGGUUCAAAAGUGAAAGACGGUCUUGCUGUCACUUAUAGAUGGAUCCGCGCUGCAUUAGCUAGUUGGUAAGGUAACGGCUUACCAAGGCAACGAUGCAUAGCCGACCUGAGAGGGUGAUCGGCCACACUGGAACUGAGACACGGUCCAGACUCCUACGGGAGGCAGCAGUAGGGAAUCUUCAGCAAUGGGCGAAAGCCUGACGGAGCAACGCCGCGUGAGUGAUGAAGGUCUUCGGAUCGUAAAACUCUGUUAUUAGGGAAGAACAUAUGUGUAAGUAACUGUGCACAUCUUGACGGUACCUAAUCAGAAAGCCACGGCUAACUACGUG
rnacentral:rRNA from 1 species